rnacentral:rRNA from 1 species
CCCUUAGAUGUCCUGGGCCGCACGCGCGCUCCACUGAUGCAUUCAACGAGUUUUACCUUGGCCGAGAGGCCUGGGCAAUCUUUUAAACCUGCAUCGUGAUAGGGAUAGAUUAUUGCAAUUUUUAAUCUUGAACGAGGAAUUCCUAGUAAACGCAAAUCAUCAAUUUGCAUUGAUUACGUCCCUGCCCUUUGUACACACCGCCCGUCGCACCUACCGAUUGAAUGGUCCGGUGAAGCCUCGGGAUUGUGGCCAGUUCACUUUAUUGGGAGUUGGCUGUGAGAACUUGUCUAAACCUUAUCAUUUAGAGGAAGGUGAAGUCGUAACA